AAAUGAAUAGACGGGGACUCACACAAGCGGUGGAGCAUGUGGCUCAAUUCGAAGCAACGCGAAGAACCUUAUCCUGGGCUUGACAUGCACGGAUGAAACCGGUGAAAGUCGGGGACUGCCCUUACGGGUGAAACGUGCACAGGUGCUGCAUGGCUGUCGUCAGCUCGUGCUGUGAAGUGUCGGGUUAAGUCCCUUAACGAGCGAAACCCUUGUCGCUAGUUGCCAGCGGGUCAUGCCGGGGACUCUAGCGAGACUGCCGGUGUUAAACCGGAGGAAGGUGGGGAUGACGUCAAGUCCUCAUGGCCUUUAUGCCCAGGGCUGCACACGUGCUACAAUGGGGCGGACAAAGGGUUGCCAACCCGCGAGGGGGAGCUAAUCCCAAAAACCGCCUCCCAGUCCGGAUUGCAGGCUGCAACUCGCCUGCAUGAAGUUGGAAUCGCUAGUAAUCGCGGAUCAGCUACGCCGCGGUGAAUGUGUUCCUGAGUCUUGUACACACCGCCCGU
rnacentral:rRNA from 1 species